CACGCAGUAAACGAUGCCGACUAGGCGUGGGGGGAGUUGACCCCCUCCGUGCCGGAGCCAACGCGGGAAGUCGGCCGCCUGGGGAGUACGGCCGCAAGGCUAAAACUCAAAGGAAUUGACGGGGGCCCGCACAAGCGGCGGAGCGUGCGGUUUAAUUCGACGCGACGCGUAGAACCUUACCAAGGCUUGACAUGCGCCUGCAUCCCCGGGAAACCGGGUGGCCUUCGAGGGUGGCGCACAGGUGCUGCAUGGCUGUCCUCAGCUCGUGCCGUGAGGUGUUGGGUU
rnacentral:rRNA from 1 species